rnacentral:rRNA from 1 species
AACGUAGGUGGCAAGCGUUAUCCGGAUUUACUGGGCGUAAAGCGUGUGCAGGCGGGUGGGCAAGUGGGGUAUGAAAUCGCCAGGCUAAACCUGGCGGGGUUAUGCCAGACUGUCCGUCUGGAGUGCGAGAGAGGGGCGUGGAAUUCCGGGUGUAGUGGUGAAAUGCGCAGAUAUCAGGAAGAACACCCGUGGCGAAGGCGGCUCUCUGGGACGGUACUGACGCUGAGACGCGAAAGCGUGGGGAGCGAACAGG